AGAGGGCGAUUGCCCGGUC
rnacentral:snRNA from 1 species